GCACUUAUGCCAGCAGCACAUAUACUAAAAUUGGAACGAUACAGAGAUUACCAUGGUCCCUGCACAAAGAUGACAUGCAAAUGCAUGAAGCAUUCUAUAUAUAU